GACCUGCAUGUCUAUAAAUUGUUAUUUUAAAUUAUUAUGUAAUUAAUUCACAAUUCUGACCUUAAUGAUUUUUUUUUUUCAAUGGAAAACAAUAGCGAGCAACAAUUAGCAAGUAAGAGAUAGCCCUUUUCUUUUCCAUUCAUACAGAUGAAUAAUCUCAGCAUAGGUUGAAUAACCUUAGCAAAUUUUUAAACUCCAAGAAACCUUUUUUAAGGGGAUUUAUGCAAGUUUAAAAACUAUAGAGCUCUAUUGAAAGUACUCGUGCAUGUCCACUAUAAUUUAUGUAGAAUAGACCUUAACAAGUCCAGAAACG
rnacentral:lncRNA from 1 species